rnacentral:misc_RNA from 1 species
GGACUACUAGGGUAUCUAAUCCUGUUUGCUCCCCACGCUUUCGAGCCUCAGCGUCAGUUACAAGCCAGAGAGCCGCUUUCGCCACCGGUGUUCCUCCAUAUAUCUACGCAUUUCACCGCUACACAUGGAAUUCCACUCUCCCCUCUUGCACUCAAGUUAAACAGUUUCCAAAGCGUACUAUGGUUAAGCCACAGCCUUUAACUUCAGACUUAUCUAACCGCCUGCGCUCGCUUUACGCCCAAUAAAUCCGGACAACGCUCGGGACCUACGUAUUACCGCGGCGGCUGGCAC